CCCUAGCCCAGAUGGAAGUGGAAAUCCUUAUGUGCUGGUACCGAAACCCCGGGACGGCACAUAAGAUUGCAACAAACAGCUGGAAAUAGC
rnacentral:sRNA from 1 species